GCCAGACUCCUACGGGAGGCAGCAGUGGGGAAUAUUGCACAAUGGGGGAAACCCUGAUGCAGCGACGCCGCGUGAGCGAUGAAGUAUUUCGGUAUGUAAAGCUCUAUCAGCAGGGAAGAAAAUGACGGUACCUGACUAAGAAGCCCUGGCUAACUACGUGCCAGCAGCCGCGGUAAUACGUAGGGGGCAAGCGUUAUCCGGAUUUACUGGGUGUAAAGGGAGCGCAGACGGCGGUGCAAGCCAGAUGUGAAAGCCCGGGGCUCAACCCCGGGGCUGCAUUGGAAACUGGCAGGCUGGAGUGUCGGAGAGGCAGGCGGAAUUCCUAGUGUAGCGGUGAAAUGCGUAGAUAUUAGGAGGAACACCAGUGGCGAAGGCGGCCUGCUGGACGAUGACUGACGCUGAGGCUCGAAAGCGUGGGGAGCAAACAGGAUUAGAUACCCGCGUAAUC
rnacentral:rRNA from 1 species